AUGAGCAUUGCUGAGGAGAAUUUGGAGGAAAGUGACUUCAACGACCUAAUGAACAGUGUAACUGAUUGGGCAGAUGAAGGAUCCCCUUCCGCUCUGAUGAUGAGUAUCUCCCUCCAAUUUCUCUAAGAAUGGGUGGAGGAUUAAAGAAAGCCCCCUCUACAGAUCAUCUUCCAGUCAUUGGACUAGAUGAGACGGUGCAUGAUCACCCUUCACAUGAAGACCCUGCUGAUGAGCCCUGUGAUCAGCCAACUGCUUUUCCAGAAUGACAGCAUGUCCAGUGUGAAGAUGACAUCAUAGGUUCUCGAGCUGCAAUAAUAUUCAAAGAUUGUUUGAGGCAACUGGCUCCAUUUUUGAU